rnacentral:rRNA from 1 species
AGAGUUUGAUCAUGGCUCAGAAUGAACGCUGGCGGCGUGCCUAAUACAUGCAAGUCGAGCGCCCCUUUAUUUGGACUCGUCUCAUGAAUUACAGACGAGCCUGGGCUGAAUCCGAAGGAUUCAGCAUCAAUUUCAUCAGAGAUGAAAUCCAGGCUCGGUGAAUAAUUCAUGAAUAAGACGAGAGCAAAUAUGGGGAGCGGCGGACGGGUGAGUAACGCGUGAGAAUAUACCCCAGACCGAGGGAUAAGCACCAGAAAUGGUGUCUAAUACCGCAUAACCUCUAAGGAGAAAAGCUUCGGCGGUUUGGGAAUAGCUUGCGUAAGAUUAGCUAGUUGGUGAGGUAAAGGCUCACCAAGGCAAUGAUCUUUAGCUGGUUUGAGAGGAUGAUCAGCCACACUGGAACUGAGACACGGUCCAGACUCCUACGGGAGGCAGCAGUAGGGAAUCUUCCACAAUGGACGAAAGUCUGAUGGAGCAACGCCGCGUGCAGGAUGAAUGCCUUAGGGUUGUAAACUGCUUUUAUAAGUGAGGAAUUGACAGUAACUUAUGAAUAAG